rnacentral:lncRNA from 1 species
CUCUGAGUUGAAGGCCACAGAUGCCCGCAAGCAUGUUCCUCCUCACUUGGGCAGAGCAGAGAUCAUGUUGCUGAAAUGUGACACCCAGCCCACUGGCCUGCCAGCCGUGUGGCCACCCUGGCACCAGUGCACGCGCGAGCCGCCCACCCGUGAGCCAUGAACAUCCAUCACCGUGACUCACAGCUGCUGCCCUGCUUCUCCUGCCGACGCCUCCCGGGAGCCCGGGGCAGGACCUAAAGGUAUUUCCUGGCCUGCUACUUCCUGGGUCUUCCUGAGCCCCUCCGAGCCAAGGCCGGCCCAGCAGGCGCCUGUGCUUCUGUAGUCUCUUCUGCCCUGCCUGCCCGCUCUGGGUUUGGUGUAAUAGAAAGAGAUGUGGAUGAGGAGCCGGGCACUUGGGCCUGGGUGGCUCUGCCACUCCCUAGCACAGCACUGAGCAAGUCAUCCCCCGCUCCAGCAUCGGCUUCCUUUUCCGAGAAAUGGGAACACUUGCAUCUCCGCUACCUACGACACUGAGGUGUCAUGGGGAGAAAAAACCCUAGAUGGGGAAGGCCUUCGGAAGAGGAAGGCAUGCUGGUAAAAAAAACUCAUUCACAUGACAGAGCAACGCUGGUGGUGUUUAGGCAAGCUCCCGAAAGACGCAUGGAAUCUUCUCUUUACGAGGUAAGUGGCUUGAUCGCACUGUGGCUCUGUGAUCCAUCUGAAGAAACACGCGGGAUGGCUUACCACCCUGACUGCUCUUCUGGAAAGGAGGCCAGCAGCUGAGCAGCAGUCAGCACGGAGGUACCCAUCAUGGAGCCACAGCCUGGCACGAAUUGAUGUCUGGAUCCAGGCAGGGUCACCAAAGGCAGGAGAAGAAUCCAACCAUCAUGCUGUGAAAAGCCCAACGUAACCACAUGGAGAGGCCACAUGGAAAGGAACUGAAGCUGUGGUCAACAGCAGCAGUUGAGUUCCCAGUCAACAGCCAGCUCCAACUUUCUAGUCAUGUGAGUGAGCCAUCUUGGAAGUGCAUCUUGCAACCUCAGUCAAGCCAUGUUAGCUGGCAUCAUGAAGAGCAAACAUGAACCAUCCUUGCUGAGCCCUGCCCAAACUGCAGAAUUCUGAGCAAAUAAAUGUUGUUCUUUUAGGUUACUAAGUUUUUUUUUUCUCUGAUUUCUUUUAUUAUUAAUUAUUAUUAUUAUUCUUAUUAUACUUUAAGUUUUAGGGUACAUGUGCACAAUGUGCAGGUUAGUUACAUAUGUAUACAUGUGCCAUGCU